CCUAGAUCACUUUCCAGUGCCCCACUCAUGGAGUUUCAGGAUGAACUCCAAGAACCCAUUUUACAGUCACCGCCUCCUGAUCCGCCUGCCCAUUCUGAACUCGACUCCAGGCUUGAAAAGGUGCUGAACGAUGACAAGUUGCCGUACUUCAACCGCCUCCGGUUGGCUUCUUGGAUUGAACUUAAGCUACUCUUCCGGUUGGCUGCACCGGCAGUUUUCGUUUACAUGAUCAACAAUCUCAUGUCCUUGUCCACCAGAGCCUUCGCCGGCCACCUUGGCAAUCUUGAGCUUGCCGCUGCCUCUCUUGGCAAUAGCGGCAUCCAACUUUUUGCUUAUGGCCUGAUGUUGGGGAUGGGAAGUGCAGUGGAAACUCUCUGUGGCCAAGCUUAUGGGGCUCAUAAGUAUGAAAUGCUAGGCACAUACCUUCAAAGAGCAACGGUUGUGUUAACUCUAACUGGGAUACCAAUGACUGUGAUCUACCUUUUAUCAAAGCCAAUCUUGCUCUUACUGGGAGAGCCAACCAAGGUGGCAUCAGCAGCUGCAGUGUUUGUUUAUGGUCUAAUACCUCAAAUUUUUGCUUAUGCAGUGAAUUUUCCAAUACAAAAAUUCCUCCAAGCACAAAGCAUAGUGAACCCAAGUGCCAUUAUAUCAGCAAUUACACUUGUGCUGCACUUAUUGCUCAGCUGGCUCGCAAUUUACCAGCUGGGGAUGGGAUUGAUAGGAGCUUCGCUGGUGUUAAGCUUGUCAUGGUGGAUCAUAGUUGGUGCCCAGUUUAUUUAUAUAUUGAAAAGUAGUCGGUGUAAGCAGACAUGGAAUGGUUUUACCUUGCAGGCCUUUUCUGGGCUUUGGGAGUUUGUGAAGUUGUCAAUAGCUUCAGCAGUAAUGCUGUGCUUGGAGACUUGGUACUUUCAGAUAUUGGUGUUGAUUGCUGGGCUUCUCAAGGAUCCUGAGAUUGCCUUGGAUUCACUUGCUGUAUGUAUGGCUGUAAGUGGGUUGCUGUUCAUGGUUUCAGUGGGAUUCAAUGCAGCUGCAAGCGUCAGAGUCAGCAAUGAAUUAGGAGCAGGGAAUCCCAAGUCAGCAGAAUUCUCAGUUUUGAUGGUGAAUUUGGUUUCUUUACUAAUCGCACUUGUAGAAGCUAUCAUUGUGCUUGCACUUCGCAAUGUAAUUAGCUAUGCUUUCACUAGUGGAGAAACUGUAGCCAUCGCUGUCUCAGAACUUUGUCCAUUUUUGGCCGUCACCCUUGUACUUAAUGGGAUUCAACCAGUGCUGUCCGGGGUUGCUGUUGGAUGUGGAUGGCAA
rnacentral:misc_RNA from 1 species